GCGGCGUUCGGGGACUCUAAGGACGCGGUGGCUUAGCGCUGGGAGGUGGAGCCGGCGUGCUUUGAGGGUUUUUUUGCUGUGUUUGAAUAGUUUGAAUGAUAAUACAUCAGAAUGAACAGGAAUCAGAAAGGAAUAACUUUGAAUGAGCCUACAUUAUCUUUAAGAUCACUCAUUCUGAGGAAGAAAGCUCCCAUGUCAGGAAGACAAUCAUGCAGUUUUGCAGAGAUCCACGUAGUGAGGAACUGAGGUGUCCUGCAACUUGCAAGCCGUGUGAGUGGCACAUCUGAGAUUGGUCCUCCAUCCCCAGUCAAGACUUGAGGCCCAGCUGACAUUGUGACUUCAGACCAAUGAUAUAUGUUUAGCCAGAACAGCUCAACUAAGCUGUUGCUAAAUUCCUGCCCCACAGAAACCGUGUGAGAUAACAAAUGUUUAUUAUUGCUUUAAGCUGCCAGUUUUUGGAAUGAAGUGUUAUACAAUAAUAGAUAACUAAGACACUAAUCAGAAAGGAUGCAGACACUGGUUUACUGCUUAUGCAGCAUCCUGGAGCCUUCUCUGCUAUCCCAGGCAUUGUUCUUUAGUUGGCGGGGGGUGGGGGGGGUGGGGAGGUGAUUCUGGGUAAACGGCUAUUUAUCAGUGAAUGCAAAGUACUUUGAUAACUUAUCACCCAGUACAGCCAUACCAAUUUUGUAUCACUCAUGCUUAUGUAGUCUCAAGACGUUGGGAAGCCCACCUGGCCCCCCAGUUAGCACUGCAGCCCUUCUGUCUCUCCACAAACGCCUCCAGGUCCUGUGGCUCUCCUAACUACUUCUGGAUCACAUGGGAAUUUGAGGUUCCCUCCUUCGGCAUACCCUCCAAUCUUUUAUUUGUUCUGAGUGCUCUCAUCUCCGUGACACCCUGACUAGACAAUAAGGCUUCUCUCCCUGGGAGCCUCUAAACUUGAAUUUUAUAGCUCCUCUUGAGGCUCAUCUUCCUUAUCACUCCUGCCUCCAUUCCCCAACCCCAUGAAAGCAAUAUUUCAGUCUCAAGAGAAGUACCCAUACACUUCAGCGCUUGAUUCCCCAAGCAUUGUCUUGGGAUUUUUCCAGAGGCAGCUACGUAUAUCCUCUCUGAUGAGUUUUGAAAACCAAAACCAAAGGGAUGAGGUUCCUGACUUCCCAGUUUUCUCCCCUCACUCUCUCCCUGAGACAGUAAUUCAGGGUCUGGAGGAGGCGGAGGCAAGUUUCACUCUCAGAGAGACAGACAGAGAAAGAGAAUAUCACUUCUUAACCUAAAAAUGUAUCCCACUGUCCCAUCUCUAGAGAAAUAAGUGUCUGCCCGCUAAGAGCUGUUAUAUUGGCUGGGAUGUGAUUAUUUCAUCAAAGAUCAACAGAUUGUAAUUAAUAGAUCUUUGCUCUGAUUCUAUGAUCAUAAAGUAACUCUUUGGUUUGCUUUUCCAAGUACCUAGAUACCUUGAAAAAGGUAUUUUCCUCACAAAGCCAACAUCAUAUACUUCAUAUUUUUUAUUUCUUUGCUAGAGAGAUCUUUGCCUGACUUCCCACAAUCGGUGUUAGGUGUCCUGCUCAUAUGUUCCAGUAUUCCUUCUCUCUAAAAGCACUUUUCCCACUGUGUUAUAAUCAUUACAUAUCAUCAUUUGUGUCUAUCACUAGACUCCAAGCUCCAUUCAACAUCUGU